rnacentral:ncRNA from 1 species
CUGUCAUACUGCGAUCCACUGAAGCUUAUCCUUUGCUUGAUGAUUCGAUAAAUAAAUGAUUUUUUCCUGUAGCCAAACACCACCUCGUCAUCAAUUUAGUUUGAGCAUAUAUGCUGUGACCCGAAAGAUGGUGAACUAUACUUGAUCAGGUUGAAGUCAGGGGAAACCUUGAUGGAAGACCGAAACAGUUCUGACGUGCAAAUCGAUUGCCAGAAUUGAGUAUAGGGGCGCAAGACCAAUCGAACCAUCUAGUAGCUGGUUCCUUCCGAAGUUUCCCUCAGGAUAGCUGGUGCAUUUUAAUAUUAUAUAAAAUAAUCUUAUCUGGUAAAGCGAAUGAUUUGAGGCCUUAGGGUCGAAACGAUCUUAACCUAUUCUCAAACUUUAAAUGGGUAAGAACCUUAACUUUCUUGAUAUGAAGUUCAAGGUUAUGAUAUAAUGUGCCCAGUGGGCCACUUUUGUAAGCAGAAUCCCACCAC